GUACGGGGGGCUGGUAGAAUGCCUUGGUGGGUUGCUGAGUGGGCAGAGACCAGCGGUACUCUGCCCGGGUGCCAGCGCUACCACUGAAGUAGCCUGGUUGGAGCCUGGUUGUGGGAGGGGGAGACCGACUGUCUCCCCUCUGGAUACACUGCUCUGUGGCUGGGGGACAGGACCGACCGUCCCUACCCCUGGUGCUGCAAGUGCAGAGACUACGGUCCCAUCUGCAUAGUUGUGGGGCUUAACAUCUCCCCUUGGUGGGUUAGGCUGCCGCUGGAGAGAGGGUGUAACAAGCUCCUCUCUCUGAACUGUAGACAGCCGCUGGGGAGAGGGGGUAACCUGCUCCUCUCCCUGACCCUCUCUUUGCUGGUGGAGAGGGGGACCAACUGUCUCCCCUUUCAAUAUUUUGUCCUGCGGCUGGGGUGCGAGACAGACGGUCUCUGCUUCCUGGGAUACACACUGCCGCUGGGGAGGAAGGACGGCACCUUCAGCUCCCUGGGGUACACACUGCCGCUGGGGAGGAAGGACGGCACCUUCAGCUCCCUGGGGUACACACUGCCGCUGGAGAGGAAGGACGCCACCUUCUGCUCCCUGGGAUACACACAGCAGCUGGGGAGGAAGGACGACCCCUUCGGCUUCCUGGGACUCACACUGCCGCUGGAGAUCUGGGCCGACCGCCCAGCAUCCCUGUAGGGCCGGUAGAGAGACCGCCGUUCCAUCUCCACCUGCCAUCUGUGGGUCUUCCCAGGACCAGUCGGUGAGGUCCCUCAACAUUUGCGAGUAAGGACCACCUGCUUCCGCACCUGGCAACUCCGGCUGCUGCUGGGGAUCUGGGCCGGUCCCAUCUGCACCUGCCUGUUGUGGUUCCUCAGAGGACCAGUCUAUGAGGACCCCUACUUCGGGUUCCUGCGGC